UACGUAGGGUGCAAGCGUUAAUCGGAAUUACUGGGCGUAAAGCGUGCGCAGGCGGCUAUGUAAGUCAGAUGUGAAAUGCCCGGGCUUAACCUGGGAACUGCAUUUGUGACUGCAUGGCUAGAGUUUGGCAGAGGGGGGUAGAAUUCCACGUGUAGCAGUGAAAUGCGUAGAUAUGUGGAGGAACACCGAUGGCGAAGGCAGCCCCCUGGGUCAAGACUGACGCUCAUGCACGAAAGCGUGGGGAGCAAACAGG
rnacentral:rRNA from 1 species